CCUUCACAUAUAUACUAAAUAUUUACACUAUUUACAAAUAUAUUUACAAAUAUUUACACUAUUAAAGAUGUGUAAUAUGUGAAAUAUUAAACACAUAAAUAUAUUGGAUAUAUAAAAAAUGAGCAUUCUAGGAAAAUGCAUUCAUACUGUGUGAAAACUGGUUUACAAUACCAUAAUAAUGAGCUAAAGAAAAACAACUUUUAAGUUCUCUCUUUUUUAAUUUCUAACAAACUUGCCUCAAUCUACUCUUCCAACAAAUUGUCUUCGCAGAGACUAAAUAGUUCAAUCCAGUAUAACUUCUUCAUUAGAAUUGCCUUUUUACUUACCAUUCUCCAGAAACUCCUCCAGUCAGCAGCUUCUUUGCCAUUCCGCAAAGCAACCUCCUAAAACUGUAACAUGAACCAAUGUGCAAAGAUUUUAUACUUGCAGCCGGAUGAUUUUGCAUUUGCCAGGCUAAGCAUCUUGAGGAGGCAACGCAGUGUGGGACACAGAACAUGCCCUUCGGAGCCACACAACCUGUGCAGGGAUCCUGCACCCGCCAUUGCCUGGUUGUGUGACCUUGAACAAGUCACCUCCACUUGCUGUUCUUUAUUUCCCCUAUCAGUUCUUUCAGCUACUGUUGUGUAACAAACGAUCCUCCAACUUCGCAGCCUGAAACAGCAAACAUCUCACCCAGUUUCCUGGGGUAGGAAUAUGGGAGGGGCUUAGCUGGAUGGUUCUGGCUCAGGGUCUUUCUUGAGGGAGCAGUGAAGACAUGGGCCAGGACUGCAGUCCCAGAGGCUUGACAGGGGCUGAAGGAUCCAGUUCCCUCACUGACGUGGCUGUUGGCAGAAGGUCUCAGUAACUCACUACGUGGGCUUUUUCAUAAGGCUGCUCUCGCAUGUCUGCAUGACAUGGCAACUGGCAUCCCCCGCCCCAUGACUGAGAGACCCCGGGGGUAGCAAGGAGAAAGUGCAGUGCCUUCUUUGAUGCUGUCACUUCUGCUGCAUUCUGUUCAUUAGAAGUAAGUCACUGAGUCAGUGGGAGGGGAAUUAGAGUCCACCUUUUGGAGGGAGGAAUGUCAAAGGAUUUAUGGUUUAAGAUCACCACAUCGAAAAAAAUAAAGAUUUUUUUAUUAAAGAAUCAAAAGCAAACCCCUAGAACAUUGCUGGUUUCAAGGUAUCUAUGCAUGUACUUAGUCUUUAUUGGAUACCUAUGAUCGUACUGUAGGCUAAGCAUAAGAUCAUGGUCCCUGCCCUUACGAAACUCAAAGUUUAAGGGGAAGAUAGACAUUAAUCAAAGAAUACACAAAUAUAAAAUCGCUGUGCUCAGUACAAUGUAGAGGGACUGGAGCUACUCAGGAAAGGCUUCUUUGAGGAAAAGGUGUCAAUGCUGAGAUCUCAAGGAUGAGUAGGGGUAACCUAGGUGUAGAAGACAGAGAAGUGUGUUCUAGCUGAAAGGGACGAUAGAGGUAGACCUUGUGGGUGGGAGCACGGAGAGCACAAGGAACCUGUCAGGCUGGUGUGGCCAAGGCAGAGGCAGCUCCAUGUGGAGGGCGGGAGUGGUAGCCAGAGGCCAACCUCCGCUCUGCUUAUCUGUGCCUGUCAUGAGUUCGCUGGUAGCCAGGGAAGAGAGCUGACUACAAAGGGCUGUGAAAGAACUUUUUGGGAUGAUGGACUGUUCUGUAUCUUGAUCAUGGGGUGGUUCUAAGACUCUAAGUGUCUGUUCGAACUCAGAACUGUAGACUAAAGAAAGGUUAAGUUUUACUCUAUGUAAAUCACAUCUCAAUAUAUCUGAGUUAAAAAAGGUAUGCUUUCAUGCAGGCACUUUAAUGGAGGCCAAAACAUUGACUUUUUCUGUAAUAUGCGUUUGGAUUUCUUCCAAACAUGUUUAGUGCCCGCAGUAUCAACAGAAGAGUGCCCAGCUGAAGUCUGACCUGUGUAGUGGUGCUGUAGCUAAACCAUGCAUGCUGUCAUUGAGCUCUACAAAUGUAUUCUGGAGGUCAGAAGUCCAAAACCAAAGAAUCAAUAGGGCUGUACUCCCUGUGAUGACUCCAGGGGAGAAUCUGUCCCCUGACCCUUCCAGCUUCCGGUGGCCCACAGCACUUCCAGUCUGCCUCCGUGGUCACAUUGUUGCCGCCUCUUCUGUCAAAUCAUCCUCUGCCUCAUUUGUAUAAGGACACUUUUAAGGAUUAUUUAAACUCCUGUGGAUAAUCCUGGAUAAGCACCCUCUUGAAAAAUCCUUAACAUCAUCCCAUUGUUUGCUAUAUCAGAUCAGAAAGCCAAUGAAGAUAUUUUACAUAAGUUUCCACAGGGGAAACGAGUCACUGAGAAAUCAAAUGCCAGUCCCUUCAAGGUCUCCUAGUGGAAAAGCAACAGAACCCAAAGUCACUGUGGAAG